UACGGAGGAUGCGAGCGUUAUCCGGAUUUAUUGGGUUUAAAGGGUGCGUAGGCGGGCUUUUAAGUCAGCGGUAAAAAUUCGGGGCUCAACCCCGUCCGGCCGUUGAAACUGGGGGCCUUGAGUGGGCGAGAAGAAGGCGGAAUGCGUGGUGUAGCGGUGAAAUGCAUAGACAUCACGCAGAACCCCGAUUGCGAAGGCAGCCUUCCGGCGCCCUACUGACACUGAGGCACGAAAGUGCGGGGAUCGAACAGG
rnacentral:rRNA from 1 species